rnacentral:rRNA from 1 species
GACGAACCGUCCAAACGUUAUUCGGAAUCACCGGGCUUAAAGGGAGCGUAGGCGGAGAGGCAAGUCAGAGGUGAAAGCCCACGGCUCAACCGUGGACGUGCCCCUGAAACGGCCUCUCUCGAGGGAGAUAGGGGCGUGCGGAACUCAGAGUGGAGCGGUGAAAUGCGUAGAUAUUCUGAGGAACACCGGUGGCGAAAGCGGCACGCUGGGUCUUUUCUGACGCUGAGGCACGAAAGCUAGGGGAGCAAACGGG